rnacentral:rRNA from 1 species
AUUCCAGCUCCAAUAGCGUAUAUUAAAGUUGUUGCAGUUAAAACGCUCGUAGUCGGAUUUCGGGGCGGGCCGACCGGUCUGCCGAUGGGUAUGCACUGGCCGGCGCGUCCUUCCACCCGGAGACCGCGCCUACUCUUAACUGAGCGGGCGCGGGAGACGGGUCUUUUACUUUGAAAAAAUCAGAGUGUUUCAAGCAGGCAGUCGCUCUUGCAUGGAUUAGCAUGGGAUAAUGAAAUAGGACUAUUUCCAUUUUAUUGGUUAUUGGAUUUAGUAAUGAUUAAUAGGGACAGUUGGGGGCAUUUGUAUUUAAUAGUCAGAGGUGAAAUUCUUGGAUUUAUUAAAGACAAACUUAUGCGAAAGCAUUUGCCAAGAAUGUUUUCAUCA